rnacentral:rRNA from 1 species
UACGUAGGGGGCGAGCGUUGUCCGGAAUCACUGGGCGUAAAGGGAGCGUAGGCGGCCUUGUAAGUCAGAUGUUAAAGCCAUUGGCUCAACCAAUGUAAGCAUUUGAAACUAUGAGGCUUGAGUACAGGAGAGGAGAGUGGAAUUCCUAGUGUAGCGGUGAAAUGCGUAGAUAUUAGGAGGAACACCAGUGGCGAAGGCGACUCUCUGGACUGUUACUGACGCUGAGGCUCGAAAGCGUGGGGAGCAAACAGGAUUAGAUACCCUGGUAGUCCACGCCGUAAACGAUGAGUGCUAGGUGUUGGGGCCGACAGGUUUCAGUGCCGCAGUUAACACAUUAAGCACUCCGCCUGGGGAGUACGAUCGCAAGAUUGAA